rnacentral:miRNA from 1 species
UGGACACAGUAGCCUAGUGGUU